UAACGGAUAUUGGGCAAUGGGCGAAAGCCUGACCCAGCGACGCCGCGUGCGGGAGGAAGCCCUUCGGGGUGUGAACCGCUGUCAGGGGUAAGAAAGUCCGUUUCGGCGGAUUGAUCUAACCCAGAGGAAGUCAUGGCUAACUCUGUGCCAGCAGCCGCGGUAAGACAGAGGUGGCUAGCGUUGUUCGGUAUCACUGGGCUUAAAGCGUGUGUAGGCGGAAGCGUAAGCAUUUUGUGAAAUCCCCCGGCUUAACCGGGGAAUCGCUUGAUGUACUGCGUUUCUUGAGGCAGGUAGGGGUGCGAGGAACUCUUGGUGGAGCGGUGGAAUGCGUAGAUAUCAAGAGGAACGCCGGUGGUGAAGACGUCGCACUGGGCCUGUCCUGACGCUGAGACACGAAAGCGUGGGGGGCGAACG
rnacentral:rRNA from 1 species